AUUGCAAGGCAGUUUCGAAAUCUGACACGUUGCGGACAGACACUUGUCACGCUCACAUGCUCUUUAAACGUCUCUGCCCGGGGACGGCCGGGCGCGCGCCUGCCUCACCAAGACUCCGCCUGACACCCCGAGUCGCCGAACCCCGGCAGCGGCCACUUUUAUAGCUAAGGGGUGACCACGCCGUGCCUGCUCGUCUGUUUCGGUCAACAGUGUCUACUCUUCGGAUUGGAACCCUGCUAGGGGAUCCCUCCUCCCAUUUCAAACAGAAACUAGCCAUUAAGUAAACACCCGUUCCUGUUGGCUUAUUUUGGUCCACAGUUAGGAGGGAUCCAACAGGAGUUUCUUGAUGAAAUUGCGCUUUCAAAGACCAGAUGCUGUUUGGCUGACUUGAAGAAACGCAUGCCCCCUCCUCUGGUUCUAGUUUUCGCGUGGUUACGUCCUGUUGUUUUGAAGCAAACGAACUGUCACAUGCCACACAAUGAGACUUCCCCCAUCACUUUAAAAAAAGGAAAGAAAAGCCCUAAACGUAAAUAAGCCUAGCAGAGACAGCGCCCGGGUCUGCCUCCAGUCUGGGCUCUGUGCUGUUUUUGUUCGGUAACCUCGGUGGAGAUCCCGGCAGAAGAAACUCUGUGGAAAUAAGAUUAAACCCGAGGAGUACUAAGACGGCCAAGGGAUAACUAACUCGACUUCGGAGCGUCUGUUUCAGGAACUAGAGCUAGCCUGCCACCCUCCCUCAAAAAAAAAAAAAAAAAAAAAGACACCCCCGCCCCUAGAAUGCGUGGAGGCCAGAGUUUAAAAAGCCUGGGUGGUUUUUCCAAUUACAGGACUAAAAUGAAUCAACAGGGAAAAAAAGCGUCUCUCUAAGAAGGCAGCAACCUUACGAUUUUUUUCUUCUGUGGUUUGCUGACUGCUCGGGACAGAAGAGAACACACACCUAAAACGGCUCGGGGGGAGCGCGGUCCUGGGGACAAGCCACCCGCCCGGACGCUGCCCUGCAACUGCCGGGAGCACAGUUCCUUCCCGGACCUGGCUGCAGAUGAAUCAGCUGCUGCGCCCGGUGCGGGACAGAUGUGGCGCAGGGAGGGGGCCAGCGCCCCCGCCGCCCGUUAGAGGGGGCCGCCUCGCUAUUUCGUUUGAAGGGUUGUCUGUGGCUGGGAUUGGUGGCUCCUAUCCGCUGGGGAGCCGGGAGCGGAGGGAGGAGAGACGCAGGGAGGAGGAGCCGGGGGCUGGGCGACGCUGCGACUCCGCGGCCUGAGUGGCAGGAGCCUCGUCUGGAACCGGGCGGUUACUGGGGAGACGCUUUGUUUGCUAACUUCGAAAGCGGCUUCGGCUGCCUCGGCCGCUUUCGAAGCCACUCCACAAAACACGCCUUCGGCACACAUAGUUCCUUUUGGCGUCUUAUCUUCUGAAGCUGCCUCAAGGCCAAGCAAAGAAAGUUGUUAAAAAGUUAAGUUACUUUUCACAGCCUGCAAACCCUUCAAAGGUCCACCAAGUGAAGAUUGGAGGAUGUAUUUGUUUCUUCUACUCAACAACAAUUGAUAAAGCAUGAGUUCCAUCAAGGACUGUGUUCUAGGUGGAGAAAGGGUGACUCACCCAGUCAUUGGAUCUCUUUCACUUCCAGUCUCUGGAAGGCAGAUAUCUUUAUAAAAUAUGCAGACAGCUAGGCUCUAAACACUGGACAAGAGGUCUGUAAUCAUCCAGUCACAUCUCAGGUCAGAGGGUCUUGGACUGCUUAAGAAAGAGCUGACCAUUGUCUUAAGAACCUGGGGUGGCCUAGAGCCAUCUUGAGGUGAUUUUAUCAGCCCCAUCAGGAUAAUUCUCCUCAGCUUCCUUGCAUGAAUAGUGUAACUGGUGCUACUACUUUUGUUUUUAGUCACUUUUCCUAGCCUGCACUUCCCUUCCCGGCCCUCCUUUUUCCUCUGUAGCCAAGUCAUCACUUCUCUUUACCUAAAUGAGUUUUGGAAUCCAGGGGAUAAAACGAAAAGAUAGGCAGGGCGCUGUGGCUCACACCUGUAAUCCCACCACUUUGGGAGGCCGAGGUGGGUGGAUCACCUGAGGUCAGGAGUUUGAGACCAGCCUGACCAAUAUGGUGAAACCCCAUCUCUACUAAAAAUACAAAAAUUAGCCGGGCGUGGUGGCGUGUGACUGUAGUCCCAGCUACUUGGGAGGCUGAGACAGGAGGGUUGCUUGAACCUGGGAGACAGAGGUUGCAGAAAGCUGAGAUCGUGCCAUUGCACUCCAGCCUGGGUGACAGAGCAAGACUCUGUCUCAAAAACAAAAACAAAAAAACGGAAAGAUAAUUCCUUGAGCACAAGCUUCACUCUCCUUAUUCUCAACAUCUGUGUCUGUAUUAUUCUUUACAGUUUAUGAAACACUUAUUUAAUCUCACUUAAUGCCCAAACUAGUGAUGUUAGUUAUUUUUUUUAAAAAGUCAAGAUCACUUAACACAUCCAAAUAUAACAAAGUUAAAAGGCAUAAAACUGGGUACCCAACAUAAAUUAUCUGAUUAUAAAUCAAGUGGUCUCUGGGAAAUCUUGUCAUUUCAGAAGGUCAGAUGGAUGUGGAGGGCAGAAACUAACCUCAGAUUAUGCCAGGGACGCCAGGGCCUCCUGAACACUGUGGGGGGUUGUGCUCUGAAAUCUACCUCCAGUUUUACAAGAAGCUCUCUUCCAAUCUGUCUGCGCUUUUUUUUUUUUUUUUUUUUUUGCU
rnacentral:lncRNA from 10 species